UGUUAAAAAUUUAAUCCAUUUGUACGGUUAAAAAUUAGUGUGAUUGACAGAGUAACAUGUGACAUUCUAUAUAUAUAUCUCAUGUUGAUGUACAAUGAUCAAUUUUUAAUAGUAGAAAUGAAUUUAAUUUUUAACA
rnacentral:pre_miRNA from 1 species